rnacentral:rRNA from 1 species
GAUUAACGCUGGCGGCGUGCAUGAGACAUGCAAGUCGAACGGACGAUCAGGGCUUGCUCUGAUCGUUAGUGGCGGACGGCUGAGUAACGCGUAGGUGACCUGCCCCGAAGUGGGGGAUAACUGCCCGAAAGGGUGGCUAAUACCGCAUGUGGAGGUUCGUUCAUUCGAACCUUCAAAGCAGCAAUGCGCUUCGGGAGGGGCCUGCGUCCGAUUAGCUCGUUGGUGGGGUAACGGCUCACCAAGGCGACGAUCGGUAGGUGGUCUGAGAGGACGAUCACCCAGACUGGGGACUGAGACACGGCCCAGACACCUACGGGAGGCAGCAGUGGGGAAUAUUGGACAAUGGGCGCAAGCCUGAUCCAGCAAUGCCGCGUGUGUGAAGAAGGGUCUUCGGGAUU